rnacentral:rRNA from 1 species
GACGAACGCUGGCGGCGUGCUUAACACAUGCAAGUCGAACGCUGAAGCUCAGCUUUUGUUGGGUGGAUGAGUGGCGAACGGGUGAGUAACACGUGAGUAACCUGCCUCCUUCUUUGGGAUAACGCCCGGAAACGGGUGCUAAUACUGGAUAUUCACUGGUCUUCGCAUGGGGGUUGGUGGAAAGGGUUUUUCUGGUGGGGGAUGGGCUCGCGGCCUAUCAGCUUGGUGGUGGGGUGAUGGGCUACCAAGGCUUUGACGGGUAGCCGGACUGAGAGGGUGACCGGUCACAUUGGGACUGAGAUACGGCCCAGACUCCUACGGGAGGCAGCAGUGGGGAAUAUUGCGCAAUGGGCGCAAGCCUGAUGCAGCGACGCCGCGUGAGGGAUGGAGGCCUUCGGGUUGUGAACCUCUUUCGCUCAUGGUCAAGCCGCAACAAUGGUUGUGGUGAGGGUAGUGGGUAAAGAAGCGCCGGCUAACUACGUG